rnacentral:rRNA from 1 species
AUUGAACGCUGGCGGCAUGCUUUACACAUGCAAGUCGAACGAGUGGCGCACGGGUGAGUAAUACAUCGGAACGUGUCCUAUCGUGGGGGAUAACUGAUCGACAGAUCAGCUAAUACCGCAUACGAUUGGAGCGGCCGAUGCCCGAGUGGCUAGUUGGUGAGGUAAAGGCUAACCAAGGCGACGAUCGGGAGCUGGUCUGAGAGGACGACCAGGCAAAAUGGGACUGAGACAUGGCCCAGACUCCUACGGUAGGCAGGAGUGGUGAAUUUUGGGCAAUGGGGGCAACCCUGAUCCAGCCAUGCCGCGUGCAGGAUGAAGGUCUUCGGAUUGUAAACUGCUUUUGUGAGGUAAGCGGUACCUGAAGAAUAAGCACCGGCUAACUACGUGCCAGCAGCCGCGGUAAUUC